rnacentral:rRNA from 1 species
AUGGACGCUGUGGAGUCCUCUUCGCCCUACUCGCCGCCGUCGCUGCGCCACAAGCUGCGGACCACCGUCUGCGGCUGCUUCGGCUUGCCGGGCAGCGACGGGCCGAGGCCGCAAAGUGGCGGCAGGGCCAGGUGGAGACGGCGGGUGGCGGCCGCGGGGGAGUUCAGGUACGACCCGCUCAGCUACGCGCUCAACUUCGAUGACGGCGGCAGCGGCGACGGCGAUCACGAAGCAGAGGACGCUGCCUUCCCGUACCGGAACUUCAGCUCGCGCCUGCCUCCCUCGCCGACGCCGGCCUCCCGAGCCGUCGCCAUCGCCUGA